ensembl:lncRNA
AUCUCAGCUUUAAAUUAUCUCAGGUUUAAAUGAUCGCAGGUUUGAAUUAUCUCAGGUUUAUAUAAUCACAGAUUUAAAUGAUCACAGCUUUAAUUAAUCACAGCUUUAAAUGAUCGCAGGUUUAUAUAAUCGCAGGUUUAAAUUAUCUUAGGUUUAAAUGAUCGCAGGUUUAAUUGAUUGCAGUUUUAAAUGAUCGCAGGUUUAAAUGAUCGCAGUUUUAAAUGAUCGCAGGUUUAAAUGAUCGCAGGUUUAUAUGAUCACAGGUUUAUAUGAUCGCAGGUUUAUAUGAUCGCAGGUUUAUAUGAUCACAGGUUUAAAUGAUCCAGUGCAAAUAUUCAGGUUUAGCCGAAGCAAUUAUAUAAUACCAUUCGAUUGUACAGGUGACCUGGCAAAAUUAUGCAGCAUAACAAUUGUGCAGAUUGAAACUUG